rnacentral:rRNA from 1 species
GACGUAGGAGGCGAGCGUUGUCCGGAAUCAUUGGGCGUAAAGCGCGUGUAGGCGGUCCGGUAAGUCCGCUGUGAAAGUCGGGGGCUCAACCCUCGGAUGCCGGUGGAUACUGUCGGGCUUGAGUACGGAAGAGGCGAGUGGAAUUCCUGGUGUAGCGGUGAAAUGCGCAGAUAUCAGGAGGAACACCAAUUGCGAAGGCAGCUCGCUGGGACGUUACUGACGCUGAGACGCGAAAGCGUGGGGAGCAAACAGG